rnacentral:rRNA from 1 species
GGGAAUAUUGCACAAUGGGCGGAAGCCUGAUGCAGCAACGCCGCGUGCGGGAUGACGGCCUUCGGGUUGUAAACCGCUUUCGCCUGUGACGAAGCGUGAGUGACGGUAAUGGGUAAAGAAGCACCGGCUAACUACGUGCCAGCAGCCGCGGUGAUACGUAGGGUGCGAGCGUUGUCCGGAUUUAUUGGGCGUAAAGGGCUCGUAGGUGGUUGAUCGCGUCGGAAGUGUAAUCCUGGGGCUUAACCCUGAGCGUGCUUUCGAUACGGGUUGACUUGAGGAAGGUAGGGGAGAAUGGAAUUCCUGGUGGAGCGGUGGAAUGCGCAGAUAUCAGGAGGAACACCAGUGGCGAAGGCGGUUCUCUGGGCCUUUCCUGACGCUGAGGAGCGAAAGCGUGGGGAGCGAACAGGCUUAGAUACCCUGGUAGUCCACGCUGUAAACGGUGGGUACUAGGUGUGGGGUCCAUUCCACGGGUUCCGUGCCGUAGCUAACGCUUUAAGUACCCCGCCUGGGGAGUACGGCCGCAAGGCUAAAACUCAAAGGAAUUGACGGGGGCCCGCUCAAG